GGAUGUUGGAGUAAACAUCUGCCACCCUGUUGAUCACCAGAGUCGAUUUGGCUGGUCUGGCUGGCUACGAGGGUGUCCCCUUCCUCCCUCACCACUCAGUGUGCAUUCCCCCCAAAGCUGCCCGCUCAGUCAAAGAAGAUGACUUUUACUGAUAGUCGACUUGUAUGAGAGUGCACAGAAUGUUGUAAGGGUGGUGUCAAGUUUUAAUGUUUAACGUGUCAAGUUUAUUGUAUUUUUUCAUGAUAAAAAUAAUAAAUACUCAUUGAAGUAUAUGUGAAAAACAUAUAAAAGUUAAAGGAUAAAUAGCAGGUAUAUCUGAGAGGCACAAUUU
rnacentral:snRNA from 1 species